rnacentral:rRNA from 1 species
GAUGAAUGCUGGCGGCGUGCUUAACACAUGCAAGUCGAGCGGUAAGGCCCUUCGGGGUACACGAGCGGCGGACGGCUGAGUAACGCGUGGGAACAUGCCCUAAAGUGAGGAAUAACUGCCCGAAAGGGUGGCUAAUGCCGCAUAUGAUCUUCGGAUUAAAGGAUUUAUCCGCUUUAGGAGUGGCCUGCGUACGAUUAGCUUGUUGGUGAGGUAAUGGCUUACCAAGGCGACGAUCGUUAGCUGGUCUGAGAGGAUGACCAGCCGGACUGGAACUGAGACACGGUCCAGACUCCUACGGGAGGCAGCAGUGAGGAAUCUUCCACAAUGGGCGAAAGCCUGAUGGAGCAACGCCGCGUGCAGGAUGAAGGCCCUCGGGUCGUAAACUGCUUUUAUGAGUGAAGAAUAUGACGGUAACUCAUGAAUAAGCACCGGCUAACUACGUGCCAGCAGCCGCCGCG